rnacentral:lncRNA from 1 species
UCGCAAUCCUGUUUCAGCCUCCUGAACAGCUGGGAUUACAAGCAUGUGUGACUGUGCCUGGCUGAUGUUUAGCAUUUUGUCAUAUGCUUGUUGGCCAUCUGUAUUCUACUGAGAAAUAUCUGUUAAGAUCAUUUGCUCAUUUGUUAAAGAAUAUUUAUCUUUAAUUUUAGGUGGACACGUUACUUUGUUUCUUAUGUGGUACUAAGGAUCUAAACCAGUGCCUUAUGCAUGCUAGGCAAGCACUCUACCACUGAGCCACGACCCCAGCCCCCAUUUACUCAUUUUUUAAAAAAAAUUUUUAAUAUUUAUUUUUUAGUUUUUGGCGGACACAACAUCUUUGUUUGUAUGUGGUGCUGAGGAUCGAACCCGGGCCUCACGCAUGCCAGGCGAGCACGCUACCGCUUGAGCCACAUCUCCAGCCCCAUUUACUCAUUUUUUUAAGUUGGAUUAUUCCUUGAGGUUUUGAGUUCCUUAUAUAUCUUACACAUUAAUCCUUUGUCUGUGAAUAGUUUACGUAUUUUCUUCCAUGCAUUAUGUUGUCUUUUUUGUUCUGUUGUUUCCUUUGUUCUGUUGAUUGUUUAGUUACCUGUUUAAUAUAAUUCCAUUUGCCUUUUUUUGCUUCUGUUGCCUCAGCUUUUGGGGUCUUAUCCAAAAAGCCAUUGUUAUAUCUACAUCUUGAAAUGUUUCCUUUAUGUUUUAUUCUAGUAAUUUCAUAGUUUUGGCUCUUACAUUUAGGUCCUUGAUCCACUUUGAGUUGAUUUGUUUUAUAUAUGGUGAGAGGGGUCGAGUUUCAACCUUCUGAUCUCCAGCUUUUCUACACCACUAUUGAAGAGGCUGUGCUUUCUCCAGGGUACAACUUUGAUGCCUUUGUUGAGAAUCAGUUGGCUAUAGAUGCCUGGUUUAUUUCUGUAUACAUAACUGAACUUUUUCAGUUUCUAAAAUGUGAAGAGAAUGAUUGGAAACAUGAUGAAAAUGUUGCAAUAUCUUCAGAAGUGCAUAAAAGAAUACCAUUUAAGUUUAUAAAGUACAAAUCUAUGAAGGUACCAAAUAUAGUAUUUUUAAAUCUCUCAUACAUUUCUUUUGGAAUUCCUUAGGUAAUAAACCUUACUUUCCCAUAACACCAUGGUUCCAAGCAAAUAUUUUCAGUUAUAAUAAAUUAUGAUUUCUAACUACUCAUUUAAAAAAGAAUAACUGCCAUAUAUUGAAUGUAGACUGAUUGGCCCAAGUAAUGAGCUGAGUAAUUUGCCUGCACUCUGUGCUUACAACAGCCUUUGAGAAAGAUGCUUUUAUCUCCUUGUUUAGUUUUGAAAAUGGAUUUUUGGAGAGACUCAGUUUGGAGAGACUCCUCUGAGGGUCACAACCUAUAGUGAUGGGAUCAGGGUUUGAACAUCAUGAG